ACUAACACUUCCCCCCCUUCCACUUCUCGGUCAACCCCUCUCUCUCUCUUCACCUCAUUCCAUUUUCUCUCAAAUUCAAAGAAUCCCCAAAUGAAGAACAUCGUUGCCUCCUCAAAUUCUCACUCAACAUCGCCGGUUGUCACACGAAUCCUUCACCGCUGUCGGCACCUUACCAUAUGCACACCGGUCACCGUCUCCACCUCCUCCGGACAACACCGUUGUUGUUUUUCGGUAGAAAUCGGCGUUCAACCGCUGUUUCCGUCGCCGCCUCUGUUCGCCCCUCCGUCGCACGCUGCUGUACCAUCGGCGGUAGCGCCGAUUCGCCGCCCUAGAGUCACCCACAGCCGAACAGCAGCGCCGAGUCAGGCCGCGGCAGAAAACGCAGCGCCUUCGCCGUCUGCUAUUCACCUCUGCCGUGGUCCGCUCGCUGUUCGAACAGCCCCGAAACGACACCGCGUAGCCCCGAAACCAAACCGAACAAUCCCGAAAGAUAACCGAACAGCCCCGAAACAGCCCUAUUUACAUUCGAAAGAUAAGUUCUUUUACAAAGCUAUGUCCUUUCGUUUUCAGUUUUAAAUUACUCUGUUAUGGGUGUUCAAUUGGUUAUGUUCGAUUGACGUUAUUGUUUGAGUUGUUCAUGUGGGAGUGAGUUUGGCAGAUUGCGUAUCCUAUACCAAUGAAUGAUAUGUAUGUUUCUGAAUGGAGGAUGGAAGUGAGGAGUACCUUCUGUAGAAUAACUGUGGUGAAUGGGUUGAUUGAAAAAAUCUGGCAGCUCCUCGACCUCUCUGUCUCGGCCGUGAAUUUAUCUGAACGAAAUGAGUUCUUGAUUGAGAUCAAUAAUUGGAAAUCAAAGGGAAAAGAAUGGGUAUUACUGUGACUUGUGGUGAAUUGAAGAAAGAAGAUGGAAGGUCACCUUGGAAGAUUGGGAGUCUCAGGAGUUGAGGAGUUGGCGUUAGGGAAGGGAGCAAAAGAGCCAACCACCAUGAUUAGGAGUUACUUGGUGGUUUAUUUUGCAGGUAACUGCUGCAGAGUGGGGUGCAAAGUCACGGUGGGGAAUCUUCCGUGAAGAAAAAAAUUAGAACUGGGCUCAAAAGAUAUCUCUUUUAAUUUAAAAGCCCAAAGCCAAAAUAUAAAAUAAAACAUUGGACUUUAUUUAAUUAAGAAGCCCAAUUUUUUUUUUA